AGUGCGUGGCCGAAUGGUUACGCUGUCCGCUUUGUAAGCGGAUGAUUCUGGGUUCGAUUCCCAUCUGCUCCA
rnacentral:tRNA from 1 species